GAACGAGGAGGAGAGGAGGAGGAAGAGGAGGAGGAGGGCAACAUAAUGAGUGAUCUGUGUCAAUCAAAAAGAUAUUACCUGUUUACUGUUUAACCUGAUUUGUAAAUGUUUAACCACAACCUGCUUUGCUCUGUUUUUCUGUUAGAGAGAGAGAAAAGAGGAGACAGAGGAGGAGGAGGGCAACAUAAUGAGUGAUCUUUGUCAAUCAAAAAGAUAUUACCUGUUUACUGUUUAACCUGAUUUGUAAAUGUUUGUAAAUGUUUUUCUGUUAGAGAGAGAGAAAAGAGGAGACAGAGGAGGAGAGGAAAGAGGAGGCGGGAGGGCAAUAUGUCAUGUGAACUCCUUCAUGUUGAAGAGAGGAGAAACUGUCAGAGAAGAAAAGAGUGAUGAAGAGAUGAGGGGAAAAUGAGAUAAGAGAUGAGGAGGAGAGGAGAGGAGGUGGAGGGCAACAUGAUGUCUAAACCUUCUCAUGUAAACGAGAGGAGAGGAGAGGAGACUGUGACAUGUUAUGACUCAUGUCAAAGAGAGGAGAAACAGUCAGAGAAGAAAAGAGUGAUGAAGAGAUGAGGGAAAAUUGAGGAGAGGAGGAGAGGAGGUGGAGGGCAACAUGAUGUCUAAACCUAUUAUCUAAACAACAGGAGAGGAGAGGUUAAUAUGAGGAGUGACCGCUCUCAUGUAAAAGCCAAGAAAAUCCUGAACUGCCUCUUCAUGAACUACCAGUGACCCAUGUUCCUACAAAGAUUCAUACAGUGCAAAACAAGUGUUUGAAAUACAGUGAUG